CGGGAGCCGGGGUGCUGCGCGGAGGCGGGUUCCGGCCCGGGGUGUGGGGCGCGGGGUGCGUGCCUAGGCCUGGAGUGGGCUCCGGAGAGAAUUUGCAUUUCUGACAAGUUUCCAGAAGAUGCCGAUGCUGCUGGUCAAGGGACCACUCUUUGAGAACCACUACACCAGUAAUUCAAGGCGAUGGAGUUCCAUGGCCUAAAGCUUGGGUUUCAAGUGCCCGUAGGGUGAAGGUGUCCCAAUCAUCAGUUCAUAUGCAGAUGUUCCUCGACUUACAAUGGGAUUACCUCCUGAUAAACCCAUCAUAAGCUGAAAAUAUUGUAAGUCAAAAAUGCAUUUAAUACUACAAUUGGUGAGUAUGGUUGUUUACCCUCAUGAUCACAUGGCUUACUGGAAGCGAUGGCUUGCUGCCACUGCCCAGCAUCCCUAAGAGCCUCAUACUGCAUAUCGCUAGCCCAGGAAAAGAUCAACAUUCAAAAUUCAAACUACAGUUUCUACUGAAUAUGUAUCACUUUUUGCACCAUUGUAAAGUAAAAACAAACAAACUUAAGUUGAACCAUUGUAAAUCUUGGACAAUCCUUACUGGCCACAGCUAAGCAGAAAUGUCUGGGCUGGAGAUAUAGACUGGAAAGUGAUCAGCAUAUGGACAGUAA